rnacentral:rRNA from 1 species
GACGAACGCUGGCGGCGUGCCUAAUACAUGCAAGUCGAGCGAAGUUUUUCUGGUGCUUGCACUAGAAAAACUUAGCGGCGAACGGGUGAGUAACACGUAAAGAACCUGCCUCAUAGACUGGGACAACUAUUGGAAACGAUAGCUAAUACCGGAUAACAGUAUUUCUCGCAUGAGAGAUAUUUAAAAGUUGGUUAUGCUAACACUAUGAGAUGGCUUUGCGGUGCAUUAGCUAGUUGGUGGGGUAAAGGCCCACCAAGGCGACGAUGCAUAGCCGACCUGAGAGGGUGAUCGGCCACACUGGGACUGAGACACGGCCCAGACUCCUACGGGAGGCAGCGGUAGGGAAUCUUCCGCAAUGGGCGAAAGCCUGACGGAGCAACGCCGCGUGAGUGAAGAAGGAUUUCGGUUCGUAAAGCUCUGUUGUUAGGGAAGAAUGGAUAUGUAGUAACUAUACAUGUAAGAGACGGUACCUAACCAGAAAGCCACGGCUAACUACGUG